AAUAUAUAAUAUACAAUAUAUAUAUAAUCACUGUUUGGUUUCUUCUCCUCUCUCUCUCUCUCUCUUUCUCUACCUUCUAUCCCUCUCUUUCCUCGCUUGUUUAACAUAUAGACAGACUGGGUUUUUCCGGCAUUGACUCGUUUAAGAAGGCUGAGCUGACACAGUGACAGAUCGGAUGGUUUCAGGCAAUGGGGUAGGAGAAGAUAGAGAAAAAGACAGAGGUUUGCUUAAAUCUUGAAAAUUUUGGCAAUUCAGUGGAAAUUUGAACAAAAAAAAAAAAAAAAAAAAAAAAAAAAAAAA